CCAGGAACCCCUGUGGGCUGAGUUAUCUCCUUCUUGUGAAGCGCUCCUCACCUCCCCACCCACAGCCUCAGAUCAAACUCCCCUAAUAUUUAUAAAACCUCUGGCAGAAACAGAAAGUCAGCCACCCGGCCAGGCGUCUGCCCACAGCUUUCUGGAGCUGCUUGGUGACACUCUUCUUGGCUCUUGGUUCUGUUUUUCUUCCACGCAAAAGCAUCUCACUCCUGACCUGAACGUCUCAUCGGUCCUUCUUCCUUAGAGGCCACUUCAGAUUUUUCUUGACAGUCCCAUUUGAUCCAUGCUGGUUCAGUGUUGCCAGACCCACUGUUCUCGGCCAAGCCUCGGAAGAAACACGAUCUGCUCGCUGUGCCAGAUCAUUUGGAAAUAGCUUGGUGACCACCGGCUUAAGGAGAUCAAGUCUUUUGAAGAUUUGACUUGGGCUAAUGGAGAGAACAGAGAGCAGCAUUCC